GUUUUUCCGCCCAUCGCCACGAUAGCGGCUCCACGGCGGGCGCGGAGUUGGGAGCGGCGCUCGAGCAGCGGCUCGGUGCCCUGGCCAUCCACACUGAGGUCGUGGAGCACCCCGAGGUCUGGCCAUCUUCUAAAGAGUUUGAACCUACUGAAGAACUAUCUUGACUGUCUUGAUGAGGGAGCUGAAGAAAUCCUUCACUGGAGUCUGAGCGGAAGUGGAAUCUAUUUUCCUUCUUCUUGAAUUUGGAAUGCUUUUGGCCAAGAGAAAGAGGUGGAAGUGAUGGUGUAACAGUUCCAAGUCUAGGCCUCAAGUUGCCUGUGGACUUCCACUCAGACUCUCAGAGCCCUGCUGGAGGAUGGAGAGACCACAUGGAACAGAGAAGGGUUAUCCCACCGAGGCCACCAUAGACCAGCCAGCCCUCAGCGUACAUGCCAGCUAAUUACAGAUGCAGGAGCAAACCCCUGGCCCAUACAUCAAGACGGGGUCUCUCUCUGUCACCCAGGCUGGAGUGCAGUGAUGUGCUCCUAGCUCACUGCAGCCUCAAACGCCUGGUCUGAAGGGAUCCUCCCACCUCAGUCUCCCAAGCGGCCGGGACUGCAGAUGAGGAAAUUAACUGAGAAAGAAGAUACAAGACCUGCCAAAUUCUUUUUUUUUGUUUUGUUUGAGACAGAGUCUCACUCUGUCGCCCAGGCUGUAGUGGCGCGAUCUCGACUCACUGCAACCUCCACCUCCUCGGUUCAAGCGAUUCUCCUGCCUCAGCCUCCUGAGUAGCUGGGCUUACAGGCAUGCGCCACCAUGCCCAGCUAAUUUUUGUAUUUUUAAUAGAGACGGGGUUUUGCCACACUGGCCAGGCUAGUCUCGAACCCCUGACCUCAGGUGAUCUACCCACCUUGGCCUCCCAAAGUGCUGGGAUUACAGAAGUGAGCCACUGUGCCCAGCCUGACCUGUCAAAUUCCUGUCAAACUCAACUUCAUGUAACACUGAACUGUAACUAUCAAGUUAGAAUAUUUUUUUCAUUUGUUUGCAUAUAUAUAGACUUCAUUAAUCUUAAUUUAGUGAUCUCAGUUAAGAAGCAAUCUGAAAUAUGUUUUGCUUUCACUUUUGGAAAAAAGUCUGAAAUAGAAGUAAAUAUUUUGACUACAAGGGAAGGACUUCAAAGGUCUGCUCUAUAUAUGAUGCUAAGAAAAGGAAUAAAAGAAGAACCCCAGAGUUCAAUAAAAUUAGUAAUAUCCAUAGAUCCCUUUUGUAAAAGUCUAACUAAAAGCAAUAUGCUAAUCUAUCAUAAAAUAAACA
rnacentral:lncRNA from 1 species